rnacentral:rRNA from 1 species
UACGUAGGGUGCAAGCGUUGUCCGGAAUUAUUGGGCGUAAAGAGCUCGUAGGCGGUCUGUCGCGUCGGCUGUGAAAUCCCGAGGCUCAACCUCGGGUCUGCAGUCGAUACGGGCAAACUAGAGUAUUGCAGGGGAGACUGGAAUUCCUGGUGUAGCGGUGAAAUGCGCAGAUAUCAGGAGGAACACCGGUGGCGAAGGCGGGUCUCUGGGCAAUAGCUGACGCUGAGGAGCGAAAGCGUGGGGAGCGAACAGG